rnacentral:rRNA from 1 species
UGAGAGUUUGAUCCUGGCUCAGGACGAACGCUGGCGGCGUGCUUAACACAUGCAAGUCGAACGGAAAGGCCCCUUCGGGGGUACUCGAGUGGCGAACGGGUGAGUAACACGUGGGUAAUCUGCCCUGCACUUCGGGAUAAGCCUGGGAAACUGGGUCUAAUACCGGAUAGGACCAUUUAGCGCAUGCUUUAUGGUGGAAAGCUUUUGCGGUGUGGGAUGGGCCCGCGGCCUAUCAGCUUGUUGGUGGGGUGACGGCCUACCAAGGCGACGACGGGUAGCCGGCCUGAGAGGGUGUCCGGCCACACUGGGACUGAGAUACGGCCCAGACUCCUACGGGAGGCAGCAGUGGGGAAUAUUGCACAAUGGGCGCAAGCCUGAUGCAGCGACGCCGCGUGGGGGAUGACGGCCUUCGGGUUGUAAACCUCUUUCAGCAGGGACGAAGCGCAAGUGACGGUACCUGCAGAAGAAGCACCGGCCAACUACGUGCCAGCAGCCGCGGUA